rnacentral:lncRNA from 1 species
GGGUCGUCUAGUGUCUCGGGUGAAAAAAAUCGAUUUAUUUUUUUUUUGCAUAAAUCUUAUCUAAAAUAUGUGUAGAAGACGUGGGUAAAAGGAUUUUUCGAAAUUGAAAGUGGUUUAAAAGUUACAACCGUAUAUCGGAGCAGGUAUACGGAUAGCACGGGAGCUCGCUCAGCGGGGCGUGUCAGCGCUGUCACGUGACAGUUCUCGCAUCGACCAUUUAGAGAGACGCUUGAGCGAUUUCGCAAAAGUAGCCCGGGUUUUAAAGAGAGAACAUAAAACGGCUUUGCAGGACUUUUUUGAAGAAGAAGGUGAACUGUAUGGUCCAGAAAUAGCAGAUUGAUGAUAAGCAGAACAGCCAAAAUCAUGGCAGCAGUUGAGAAACUUUUUUUUUAUAUGUGUCCCUGUUGGCUGAUGUAAUUAAAAAAAAACACUAUAUCGACUUUAAAAAAUUCAUAAAGUUUGUUAAAAUGUUAAUAAAUAUGAUAUAAAAAUGAUAGAUUAUUUUAUUUAAAUCCUUUUCUAAAAAAAAGAUUCCCAACAAAGCGUUAAAAAUACCGCCUAGACACUAGACGACCCCC